rnacentral:rRNA from 1 species
UACGAAGGGGGCUAGCGUUGCUCGGACUCACUGGGCGUAAAGGGUGCGUAGGCGGGUCUUUAAGUCAGGGGUGAAAUCCUGGAGCUCAACUCCAGAACUGCCUUUGAUACUGAAGAUCUUGAGUUCGGGAGAGGUGAGUGGAACUGCGAGUGUAGAGGUGAAAUUCGUAGAUAUUCGCAAGAACACCAGUGGCGAAGGCGGCUCACUGGCCCGAUACUGACGCUGAGGCACGAAAGCGUGGGGAGCAAACAGG